UAACAAAGCUAUUUAAUGCUUCU
rnacentral:siRNA from 1 species